rnacentral:rRNA from 1 species
GUUAACGAGGCGAACCGGGGGAACUGAAACAUCUAAGUACCCCGAGGAAAAGAAAUCAACCGAGAUUCCCCCAGUAGCGGCGAGCGAACGGGGAGCAGCCCAGAGUCUGAAUCAGCUUGUGUGUUAGUGGAACGGUCUGGAAAGUCCGACGGUACAGGGUGAUAGUCCCGUACACCAAAAUGCACAGGCUGUGAACUCGAAGAGUAGGGCGGGACACGUGGUAUCCUGUCUGAAUAUGGGGGGACCAUCCUCCAAGGCUAAAUACUCCUGACUGACCGAUAGUGAACCAGUACCGUGAGGGAAAGGCGAAAAGAACCCCGGCGAGGGGAGUGAAAAAGAACCUGAAACCGUGUACGUACAAGCAGUGGGAGCACCUUCGGGUGUGACUGCGUACCUUUUGUAUAAUGGGUCAGCGACUUAUAUUCUGUAGCAAGGUUAACCGUAUAGGGGAGCCGCAGGGAAACCGAGUCUUAACUGGGCGUUAAGUUGCAGGGUAUAGACCCGAAACCCGGUGAUCUAGCCAUGGGCAGGUUGAAGGUUGGGUAACACUAACUGGAGGACCGAACCGACUAAUGUUGAAAAAUUAGCGGAUGACUUGUGGCUGGGGGUGAAAGGCCAAUCAAACCGGGAGAUAGCUGGUUCUCCCCGAAAGCUAUUUAGGUAGCGCCUCGUGAACUCAUCUUCGGGGGUAGAGCACUGUUUCGGCUAGGGGGUCAUCCCGACUUACCAACCCGAUGCAAACUACGAAUACCGAAGAAUGUUAUCACGGGAGACACACGGCGGGUGCUAACGUCCGUCGUGAAGAGGGAAACAACCCAGACCGCCAGCUAAGGUCCCAAAGUCAUGGUUAAGUGGGAAACGAUGUGGGAAGGCACAGACAGCCAGGAUGUUGGCUUAGAAGCAGCCAUCAUUUAAAGAAAGCGUAAUAGCUCACUGGUCGAGUCGGCCUGCGCGGAAGAUGUAACGGGGCUAAACCAUGCACCGAAGCUGCGGCAGCGACACGAUGUGUUGUUGGGUAGGGGAGCGUUCUGUAAGCCUGCGAAGGUGACCUGUGAGGGUUGCUGGAGGUAUCAGAAGUGCGAAUGCUGACAUAAGUAACGAUAAAGCGGGUGAAAAGCCCGCUCGCCGGAAGACCAAGGGUUCCUGUCCAACGUUAAUCGGGGCAGGGUGAGUCGACCCCUAAGGCGAGGCCGAAAGGCGUAGUCGAUGGGAAACAGGUUAAUAUUCCUGUACUUGGUGUUACUGCGAAGGGGGGACGGAGAAGGCUAUGUUAGCCGGGCGACGGUUGUCCCGGUUUAAGCAUGUAGGCUGGUUAUCCAGGCAAAUCCGGAUAAUCAAGGCUGAGGUGUGAUGACGAAGCACUACGGUGCUGAAGUAACAAAUGCCCUGCUUCCAGGAAAAGCCUCUAAGCAUCAGGUAACACGAAAUCGUACCCCAAACCGACACAGGUGGUCAGGUAGAGAAUACCAAGGCGCUUGAGAGAACUCGGGUGAAGGAACUAGGCAAAAUGGUGCCGUAACUUCGGGAGAAGGCACGCUGGUGUGUAGGUGAAGCCCCUGCGGGUGGAGCUGAGACCAGUCGAAGAUACCAGCUGGCUGCAACUGUUUAUUAAAAACACAGCACUGUGCAAACACGAAAGUGGACGUAUACGGUGUGACGCCUGCCCGGUGCCGGAAGGUUAAUUGAUGGGGUUAUCCGUAAGGAGAAGCUCUUGAUCGAAGCCCCGGUAAACGGCGGCCGUAACUAUAACGGUCCUAAGGUAGCGAAAUUCCUUGUCGGGUAAGUUCCGACCUGCACGAAUGGCGUAAUGAUGGCCAGGCUGUCUCCACCCGAGACUCAGUGAAAUUGAACUCGCUGUGAAGAUGCAGUGUACCCGCGGCAAGACGGAAAGACCCCGUGAACCUUUACUAUAGCUUGACACUGAACAUUGAGCCUUGAUGUGUAGGAUAGGUGGGAGGCUUUGAAGCGUGGACGCCAGUCUGCGUGGAGCCAACCUUGAAAUACCACCCUUUAAUGUUUGAUGUUCUAACGUUGGCCCCUUAUCGGGGUUGCGGACAGUGUCUGGUGGGUAGUUUGACUGGGGCGGUCUCCUCCCAAAGCGUAACGGAGGAGCACGAAGGUUAGCUAAUCCUGGUCGGACAUCAGGAGGUUAGUGCAAUGGCAUAAGCUAGCUUGACUGCGAGCGUGACGGCGCGAGCAGGUGCGAAAGCAGGUCAUAGUGAUCCGGUGGUUCUGAAUGGAAGGGCCAUCGCUCAACGGAUAAAAGGUACUCCGGGGAUAACAGGCUGAUACCGCCCAAGAGUUCAUAUCGACGGCGGUGUUUGGCACCUCGAUGUCGGCUCAUCACAUCCUGGGGCUGAAGUAGGUCCCAAGGGUAUGGCUGUUCGCCAUUUAAAGUGGUACGCGAGCUGGGUUUAGAACGUCGUGAGACAGUUCGGUCCCUAUCUGCCGUGGGCGCUGGAGAAUUGAGGGGGGCUGCUCCUAGUACGAGAGGACCGGAGUGGACGCAUCACUGGUGUUCGGGUUGUCAUGCCAAUGGCACUGCCCGGUAGCUAAAUGCGGAAGAGAUAAGUGCUGAAAGCAUCUAAGCACGAAACUUGCCCCGAGAUGAGUUCUCCCUGAGACUUUAAGUCUCCUGAAGGAACGUUAAAGACGAUGACGUUGAUAGGCCGGGUGUGUAAGCGCAGCGAUGCGUUGAGCUAACCGGUACUAAUGAACCGUGAGGCUUAACCUU